rnacentral:pre_miRNA from 1 species
AAAGAAAUGGCUGGGUCAUACGGUGGUUCUAUUCCUAAUUUUCUGAGGAAUCUCCACAUUGCUUUACAGAGUGAUUGUACUCAUUUGCAGUCCCACCAACAAU